rnacentral:rRNA from 1 species
UACGUAGGCAGCAAGCGUUGUUCGGAGUUACUGGGCGUAAAGGGUGUGUAGGCGGUUGUUUAAGUUUGGUGUGAAAUCUCCCGGCUCAACUGGGAGGGUGCGCCGAAUACUGAAUGACUAGAGUGCGGGAGAGGAGAGUGGAAUUCCUGGUGUAGCGGUGAAAUGCGUAGAUAUCAGGAGGAACACCGGUGGUGUAGACGGCUCUCUGGACCGUAACUGACGCUGAGGCACGAAAGCGUGGGUAGCAAACAGG